ensembl:snRNA U6 U6 spliceosomal RNA
AGGCUCACUUUGGCAGCACAUAUACUAAAUUUGGAAUGAUUCAGGGAAGAUUAACAUUUACAAGGAUGACAUGAAAAUUUGUGAAAAAUCUCUCCACCCAGAUUU